GUAAAUGUACCUAGUGUCUCAUUUUUAUUCGAUUGAAUAUCAUUUAUCAUUGUUUACGAAUACAUAAUUUAAUUUAAAUAGCAUAUCUGUGCUGUAGUGUUGAGAUUCGUUCUGGGCAGGUUUUUAGGAGUUUGUUAUUUACGGUUUUAAAAAUAAAGACCACGUUUUACGCCCUAUUUUGACCCUGAAGGUUUGGAUUGAUCUGCUGUUGCUUUGGACAGUUGACGACUGGUUUGGGGGUCUUAUUGUUUUAGGACAAAGAUCAUCUCAAGUCUGGACUCGCAGGAAAAUACUGGCAUUUGUUUUACCACCACUUCUAUUUUGGAAAUACUGUGAAAUAAGACUACAAGGUUUUGGUGUUUGUUUUUAAAACACUGGACAUUUCUAAAGCAUACUCAUGUCAUGUCUUGAUGCCUACUGCCAGAUCCUGAAAUAAAGCUGCUUAUUCGGGCGUCACAUCGAUCAGAGCCUGAAGUCGCAGUCCAGGAGCUUGUCAAACCCUUCAACUUCCAUUCACAUUAAUGGAAGCUUUCCAUGGAAGUUGGCAUCACUCGACACUGCGGCCGUGGGAUAGUGAACCAAUCAAAAGUGGAUUGAAGAGUAGCCUUUUCCCCGUAACCCAAUCAGCAUUGUGUAUACAUGAGCCACUCCCACACCCUGCCCUUACAUGGCACGGAGGACUGGCCAAGGUCUACUGAUGGAUGUAAAGGCUGCUAGUUCAGAGACAACAGAACCACAAUACCAAGACUACUACUACUACUAUUACUUAUACUACUACUACAGAAGCACAACUACCAAGAGUACUACUACAUAACCAGAAGGAUGGAAACAGCUACCGACUUGACUCUGGUAAGAUCCGAUUACUAAUCAUAAUUUUAGAUUAAAUCAAUGGACAUUGAAUGUAUCUAGCACAGUAACAUAUAUUUUUGUCCACAAUUUCAGAUUGAAUAGUGCUAGUUAUAGAUCGCACUGAUAUCAAAAUACGUAAUCCCCUCCAAU
rnacentral:lncRNA from 1 species